GCGCGGGUGGCGGAAUAGGUAGACGCGCUAGCUUGAGGUGCUAGUCCUCGCAUAAGAGGGUAGGGGUUCAAGUCCCCUUCCGCGCAC
rnacentral:tRNA from 1 species